GACGAACGCUGGCGGCGUGCUUAACACAUGCAAGUCGAACGGAAAGGCCCUGCUUUUGUUGGGUGCUCGAUUGGCGAACGUGUGAGUAACACGUGAGUAACCUGCCCUUUUCUUUGUGAUAACUUCAUGAAACUUGGGCUAAUACCUGAUAGGAGCUCCUGCUGCAUGUUGUUGUUUGUAAAGUUUCGGCGGUUGGGGAUUGACUCGCGGCUUAUCAGCUUUUUUGUGUGGUAGUGGCUUACCAAGGGUUUGACGGGUAGCCGGCCUGAGAGGGUGAACGGCGAAAUGGGGACUGAGAUACGGAGCAGAAUGGAACGGGAGGAAGGAGGGGGAAAUAUUGGAGAAUGGGAGGAAGCAAGAUGAAGAAAAGCAGGGAGGGGGAUGAAGGAAUUGGGGUUGUAAAAAGAUGUAGAAUGUGAAGAAGAGUGAGUGACGGUAAUGGGUAAAGAAGCAACGGCUAACUACGUG
rnacentral:rRNA from 1 species